rnacentral:rRNA from 1 species
GGCUGAACGCCUCUAAGUCAGAAUCCAUGCCAGAAAGGGACGAUUUCCUCCUGCACGUCGUAGUUGGAUACGAAUAGGCCUCUGGCCCCGAACCUUAGCAGGCUGGCAACCUCCGUCCGGUAGAAGUCCGGGCGGGGAGCUGGCGAAUUGCAAUUUCACAACGCGCAGGGAUAAAUCCUUUGCAGACGACUUAGUUGUCUAACCGG